CCCCUUCGUCCUUUACGUUUGUCCAGCAGUUCGGCUGGGCACUCUAAAGGGACUGCCGGUGUUAAACCGGAGGAAGGUGGGGAUGACGUCAAGUCCUCAUGGCCUUUAUGACCAGGGCUACACACGUACUACAAUGGCCGAUACAAAGGGCAGCGACACUGCGAGGUGAAGCCAAUCCCGUAAAAUCGGUCUCAGUCCGGAUUGGAGUCUGCAACUCGACUCCAUGAAGUUGGAAUCGCUAGUAAUCGUGGAUCAGCAUGCCACGGUGAAUACGUUCCCGGGCCUU
rnacentral:rRNA from 1 species